GCUGGCGGCAUGCUUAACACAUGCAAGUCGAACGGUAACAGCGAGAGCUUGCUCUCGGCUGACGAGUGGCGGACGGGUGAGUAACGCGUAGGAAUCUGCCCAGUAGUGGGGGACAACCCGGGGAAACUCGGGCUAAUACCGCAUACGCCCUACGGGGGAAAGAUGGCCUCUCCUUGGAAGCUGUCACUAUUGGAUGAGCCUGCGUCGGAUUAGCUAGUUGGUAGGGUAAAGGCCUACCAAGGCGACGAUCCGUAGCUGGUCUGAGAGGACGACCAGCCACACUGGGACUGAGACACGGCCCAGACUCCUACGGGAGGCAGCAGUGGGGAAUAUUGCACAAUGGGGGCAACCCUGAUGCAGCAAUGCCGCGUGUGUGAAGAAGGCCUGCGGGUUGUAAAGCACUUUCAAUUGGGAAGAAAAGAUGAGGGUGAAUAGCCCUUGUUCUUGACGUUACCUUUAAAAGAAGCACCGGCUAACUCCGUGCCAGCAGCCGCGGUAAUACGGAGGGUGCGAGCGUUAAUCGGAAUUACUGGGGCGUAUAGCGCGCGUAGGCGGUUUAGUCAGGUCAGAUGUGAAAGCCCUGGGCUCAACCUGGGAACUGCAUUUGAUACUGCUGAACUGGAGUAUGGUACAGGGAAGUGCAAUUCCCGGUGUAACGGUCAAAUGCAUAAAUGUCCCGAAGAACAUCAUGUCUAAGCGACUUCCUGAUUAUCCUGACGGGGAGUGCAAAACGACGAUACUUACGGAGUU
rnacentral:rRNA from 1 species